rnacentral:rRNA from 1 species
UGGCUCAGGACGAACGCUGGCGGCGUGCCUAAUACAUGCAAGUCGAGCGAGCAGAACCAGCAGAUUUACUUCGGUAAUGACGCUGGGGACGCGAGCGGCGGAUGGGUGAGUAACACGUGGGGAACCUGCCCCAUAGUCUGGGAUACCACUUGGAAACAGGUGCUAAUACCGGAUAAGAAAGCAGAUCGCAUGAUCAGCUUAUAAAAGGCGGCGUAAGCUGUCGCUAUGGGAUGGCCCCGCGGUGCAUUAGCUAGUUGGUAAGGUAACGGCUUACCAAGGCAAUGAUGCAUAGCCGAGUUGAGAGACUGAUCGGCCACAUUGGGACUGAGACACGGCCCAAACUCCUACGGGAGGCAGCAGUAGGGAAUCUUCCACAAUGGACGCAAGUCUGAUGGAGCAACGCCGCGUGAGUGAAGAAGGUUUUCGGAUCGUAAAGCUCUGUUGUUGGUGAAGAAGGAUAGAGGCAGUAACUGGCCUUUAUUUGACGGUAAUCAACCAGAAAGUCACGGCUAACUACGUGCCAGCAGCCGCGGUAAUACGUAGGUGGCAAGCGUUGUCCGGAUUUAUUGGGCGUAAAGCGAGCGCAGGCGGAAGAAUAAGUCUGAUGUGAAAGCCCUCGGCUUAACCGUAGGAACUGCAU